GACGAACGCUGGCGGCGUGCUUAACACAUGCAAGUCGAACGGAAAGGCCCUGCUUUUGUGGGGUGCUCGAGUGGCGAGCGGGUGAGUAACACGUGAGUAACCUGCACUUGACUGUGGGAUAACUUCAGGAAACUGGGGCUAAUACCGGAUAGGAGCUCCUGCUGCAUGGUGGUGGUUGGAAAGUUUCGGCGGUUGGGGAUUGACUCGCGGCUUAUCAGCUUGUUGGGGGGGUAGUGGCUUACCAAGGCUUUGACGGGUAGCCGGCCUGAGAGGGUGACCGGCCACAUUGGGACUGAGAGACGGCCCAGACUCCUACGGGAGGCAGCAGUGGGGAAUAUUGCACAAUGGGCGGAAGCCUGAUGCAGCAACGCCGCGUGCGGGAUGACGGCCUUCGGGUUGUAAACCGCUUUCGCCUGUGACGAAGCGUGAGUGACGGUAAUGGGUAAAGAAGCACCGGCUAACUACGUG
rnacentral:rRNA from 1 species